UACGUAGGGUGCGAGCGUUGUCCGGAAUUACUGGGCGUAAAGAGCUCGUAGGUGGUUUGUCGCGUUGUUCGUGAAAACCUGAGGCUUAACCUUGGGCGUGCGGGCGAUACGGGCAGACUGGAGUACUGCAGGGGAGACUGGAAUUCCUGGUGUAGCGGUGGAAUGCGCAGAUAUCAGGAGGAACACCUGCGGCGAAGGCGGGUUGCUGGGCUGAUACUGACGCUGAGGCGCGAAAGCCAGGGGAGCGAACGGG
rnacentral:rRNA from 1 species